GGUCCGCAGGGAUGAACAAGGGAAUCGGGUGAAAAUCCCGGACGGAAUCCGCCGCUGUAAGCGCCGAGUCCGAUGCCUGUUGAUGAAAAUCAGUCACUGGGAAACUGGGAAGGCAGGGUGUCGAACGUAAAAUCAUAAGAUUUUAAAAGCGUAAGUCAGAAGACCUACAAA
rnacentral:ncRNA from 1 species